UACGGGGGGGGGCAAGCGUUGUUCGGAAUUACUGGGCGUAAAGGGCUCGUAGGCGGCCAACUAAGUCGGAUGUGAAAUCCCCAGGCUUAACCUGGGAACUGCAUCCGAUACUGGAUGGCUUGAAUUCGGGAGAGGGAUGCAGAAUUCCAGGUGUAGCGGUGAAAUGCGUAGAUAUCUGGAGGAAUACCGGUGGCGAAGGCGGCAUCCUGGACUGACAUUGACGCUGAGGAGCGAAAGCUAGGGGAGCAAACGGG
rnacentral:rRNA from 1 species